rnacentral:lncRNA from 1 species
GACCCUCUCCGCCAUUUAAAGAAACAGUACCGGGGGCGGGCCGAGCGACGCAGCCGGGACGGUAGCUGCGGUGCGGACCGGAGGAGCCAUCUUGUCUCGUCGCCGGGGAGUCAGGCCCCUAAAUCGAAGAAGCCCUGGCGCGCCCUCCCCCCCUCCCGGGUCUGGUAGGGCGAAGGAACGGGCGUGCGGUCGAUCGAGCGAUCGGUUGGCGGCUCUUUCUCCUGCUCUGGCAUCCAGCUCUUGGGGCGCAGGCCCGGCCGCCGCGGCGCGCGCCCGGUGGCCGUUGGCGCUCGCGCCGCGUCUUUCUUCUCGUACGCAGAACUCGGGCGGCGGCCUAUGCGUUUGCGAUUCGACGAGGAGUCGUCCGGGUGGUCGGCGGCGGCGGGCAGCUGCUCCGCCCCGCUCCGGGGGAGGCGGCGGCGGCAGCGGCCGCGGGAUUUGGAGCGGCCGGGGAGGCGGGGGUGGCCGGGGCCGGCUUGGAGGCCUGGCGCCACCCUUCGGGGCCUGCAAGGACCCAGUUGGGGGGGCAGGAGGGGGCCGGAGGAUGGUUGGUUGUGGGAUUUCUACUUUGCCUUUUCCUCCUUAUGCCGCCUUAGUGAGGGGCGGGAGCUCUGGCGGCAGCCCCGGGGUGGGGAGACGAGCUCCGGAGUCGGAAGAGCUGGGUUUUCUUCCGGGCCUAGCCACCAGUUGGCGGAGUGACCUUAGGCGAGUCACUCUGUAAUUUGUCUGCGCCUCAGUUUCCUCCUCUGCCUAUCAAUGUGUGUGGGGUUGAAAUCGCUUUGUAAACUAUAAAGCGUGGGUGUACGUAAAGGAUGGUUAUUGUUUAUAAUUUUUUUUGAGUUGUAAGAAAACUUAGCAGUUCCCCAAUCCUUGGGUUUUGAACCUGGGAACCUUGGAUUGGAGUUGGGGAUCCCCAAACUUCCUGAAAUUGUGGGAAUGUGCGGUUUGGGGGAAUGAUGGGAAUUUGUGGGAAUGUGCGUUUUAGGGGAAUGAUGAUCCAUCGCUAGCAAGUUUUCCAAGGGGGCUGUGACCCAGAAGAGUUAAGAAUCACAAUUUCUUCAUGCUACAGAGAGGAAACUGAGGCCUAGAUGUCAUUUGGGACCCUUCACAACCAUUUUGAAGCCCUGUUUGAGUCCCUGGGAUAUGUGAGCUGUUUCUAUGCAUAAUGGAUAUUCGGGGUUAACAACAGUCCCCUGCUUGGCUUCUAUUCUGAAUCCUUUUCUUUCACCAUGGGGUGCCUGAAGGGUGGCUGAUGCAUAUGGUACAAUGGCACCCAGUGUAAAGCAGCUACAAUUAGGAGUGGAUGUGUUCUGUAGCAUCCUAUUUAAAUAAGCCUAUUUUAUCCUUUGGCCCGUCAACUCUGUUAUCUGCUGCUUGUACUGGUGCCUGUACUUUUCUGACUCUCAUUGACCAUAUUCCACGACCAUGGUUGUCAUCCAUUACUUGAUCCUACUUUACAUGUCUAGGCUGUGUGGUUGGUGGUGAAUAGGCUUCUUUUUACAUGGUGCUGCCAGCCCAGCUAAUUAAUGGUGCACGUGGACUUUUAGCAAGCGGGCUCACUGGAAGAGACUGAACCUGGCAUGGAAUUCCUGAAGAUGUUUGGGGUUUUUUUCUUUCUUAAUCGAAAGUUAACAUUGUCUGAAAAGUUUUGUUAGAACUACUGCGGAACCUCAAAAUCAGUAGAUUUGGAAGUGAUUCAAAGCUAAACUUUUUCCUUGGCCCUCCUUGUGUUCUAAUUGCUUGCAAGUGUAAUACUAGGAUGUCCAAGAUGCCAGUUUUUGCUUCUUUGUUAGUUGUCAGCUGCUUUUAUCAAAUUUCAGGCCAUUAUCCAACAAACACUAUAAAAAUGUUUGAACAAUUGGAUUUCAAACAUUUUCGUUUUGUGGAGUGGUGCUCACCAAGUGGUACAGCCCUAAGCAAGUGAACACAAACACAUUUAAGUGUAUUUUGUCUGAUUAGAUGUUAGCCAGUUAUGCUAUUUCAUUCAAAUGUCUGAAAAAAUCAAUUGACUAUUCCCUUUUCCUAAAGGGCAGAGACAGAUAAUCUCACUUCCAGAGAAAUGACUUGGAGAAAAAAAAGUGUUGGUCUUUUUGCUCUUUUGUAAUUAAAUCCGGAUGUACCUCAAAAGACUUAAGACUGUGGUGAUAAGAUGCUUUCCUCAGCAGAAAGGAGGGAAAAAAAACAACUGGAACUCAAAGCUUGAAAUUCUGUGGCAAAACAUGAGAUGUCCAGGAUUGGAGGUUGAAAAGAUUUCACUACAGUGUUCUGCAAUAGUUGGAGCAGAUAACUUUCAGUGUAGCCACAGCCAUGGACUCCAGAUUUCCAGAUUUUCAAGACCUGGACCUGGAACCCGAAAGAGCUUGUCACGAUGCGGCAGGAACACUGGAGGUAGAUUUUUUUUUAUUUUUGAAUUUUGGGACUGUUGACCUUGCUGUGAGAAAAGAGACAACGACUGAGCAAGCACUACCACCAGCACUGUUACUGGGAAUUAGAAGACCUGAGUUUCUGUCCAGACCCUCAGUGCAAACUGAGGAUGCUCCAUCCAAAGUGAAUUAUGCCUACAGACCUGGUACCUGGAUUUUUGCCCGAGAUGAUUCCUACCACCUUACUACUGACGAAGACACCCAUUCCAGUGGACCACUGUGACCCAGGAGGCAUUCAGCCAUCAUGAUGUGGCCUUUACCUCCACUCCUGUCUUGUUCUACCCAGAUUCAGCACAGCCCUUUAUAGUGAAGUCAGAGUCCUCAAGCCAAAUAGCUAAAGCUGUUUUAUCACAACAAAGGCCUAGUUUGUUCCAUGAGUGUGCAUUUCAUUUCUUCAGUUAAAGCCUUCAGAGACACACAAUAAAUUUGGACCAGGGGAUUUUUUAGUUAUUAAUGCUCUCUGAAGAAAGGCAACAUCUUUUUGAGAGCAGCAUUGGACCACACCCCACAAUCUCAAAUGAUUGAAAUUCAUGAACAUCUAGGAUCCCGUGAAGGUCACUGGACCCUGUUUUUUCUACUUCAAAUCCUGUAGUAGCCUACUGAAUGAGAAAACAUAUUCUGACCCAUUGGGAUCAAAUCAAAGGCACAGUGAACUCCUCAUAGCAUCUUCUUUGGAAUUACUCAGGAACCAGAACUUUUUACACAAAUGUAAGAAAUUCUACCAAGGAGUCCCCUUACCUAACAGCAUCUCACAAGGCUGCACCAGAUUCCAGAAAAGGCUUCUCUUGAUACAUCAAGCAUUUUGUGACCGACUUAUUCUUAGAUCAUUGGUUUUCCAAAGGCUUUGUGGCCAUGAAGCCCUUUGAGUGAAAACUGUGCAGAAGCCCAGAGUAAAAGUGAAGCUGCUCUGGAUGAAGUAGUGAAGCAAGAGUAGGGGCCUGAAUCCUGCUACAACUAUCUUCCUUUACCACCGUGGUGACACCUAAGGGGACUUCCUUACAACACCUUGAACUCUUCCGAACACAGUUUGAAAACCACUGCCCCAGACAGCAAUAUGUUUGACCUGAAUGGCAUUCCAAUCUUUUCUGUACCUCCACUCAGCACAGUUCAUGUUCAGUAGAUGCUGAACAUUCUUAGAAAUACUGUGUGUGAACUUAGAAAAGUGCAAGAAGACAGGCAUGUCUUUGACCCCAGGAAUGAUCAUUUGCUGAAGAUGGUGUCAAGUGAACCUAGAUUAACAGCCCUCCACUCCAGAUGGAUAUCCAGUGAUUCCUAGAAUGGGAUAUAGCCAGAGAACAAUUCUAUGCACCCUACACUGACAGACUCCCUUAAGCAACACCAGAUGCUCUACUGGUACUUGAAGUACAUGACUUUGAAGUCUUGACCCUCCAUGAAUACCUGAAUUAUCAGCAAGCGGGUUUUGAAGCUGGUGCCUCAUUGAGGCCAUAUUAGAGCAACUUGUACAUUUGACCUCUUGUUAUCAGCCAUGGUACUCUACUUCGUGUGCAAGAGAUAACUAUGAAAGCCAAAUUCAAAUACUGGCAACAUUUCCUAAAGGGGCUCAAUAUCUAUCAUUCGUCUUCUUUUCCAAACUACACAUCACUGUAUGACUCAACCAGUAGCAGUUAUAUUGCCCCUUGGUUUUUAUUCAGUUUAACUACUGUUUCCAAGAUAAAUGAGCUAAUAAGCUUUAAAAAAAAAAAAAAAAAAGGCUGAAUUCUUUUUUCUUCAUCACUGGCAUAUCUGCCUAUUCUCCAGAAUUAUUAUGACUAUUCAGCUCACUUUAACAGUUGAACUUCAAGCGACAAUCUUUGAACACCCCUUCUCAUGUGAUUUAAAAUGAAACCAUUUGGAAAAGUUUCUUCUAGCCAGUAAUAGAUUUUUUUUUUAAUUGCUCUGCCUUGUGCCGAGAGAUGUUCUUUUAAGAUGAAUCUUUUGAUGUCUGAUACCACCAAAUAUAGGUGGUAGGGAGAGUUGGAGGCUGGCCCUUUGAGCAGGCCAUUAGCUUACUUGCUGGGCAUUUCCGAUAGCUUAUUGCCUACCUUUUUGCUGGAAACAAACUGAUUUGAAAAACAAAAUCUAUGAAGACUGCAGCUAAGGAUUUUAUCGGUAGACUUAAGAGCUUUUGUCCUUGUGGAUAUUUUAGUGGAACCACAUCAGUCUCAAUACUGUCAUUUUACACUGACUCAGAGCAGCUGACUUCAUUCCUUGCCAUGAUAUAUAUUUAAGGCAGGCAUUGUAACAGACAUAAAGACAACUUAUCUGUUUCAGCAGGAAGGAUUCAGUUUAUGAACUCUCAGACCAGAUCAUGUUGAACAAGGAGACUUUGAUGUGUGUCAUGAGAAAACUCAUUCUUUACUUCCCAGUCAAUUUAAAGGCCAGCUAUCCUGAGCUACUCGAAUGAAUGCACUGGUUAAACAUUGGAAAUAGUUUGUUUAUAUCCUUGUCUCUCUCUAGGCCAAUUGUGAUUACAUGACUCGACUCUACAUCUCGUCAAACAAGGCCUAGGUCUGGUUGCUGUAGACUGCUCGCCCUCAACAAAUAAAAUCUGGUUGACUAGCCUCCUUGUAUAUACAACUAUUAUUUGUUAAGAAGAAAUUAUCGUCAAUUUUCUACUACCUUCCAAUUGUCAGCUCUUUUUUUCCUCUCUGGUUUUUCCUAUACUUUACAGAAAAAGACAUUGAUCUAUACUGCCAUUCCCUCUAAUCCUGCCAUACUCAGUCAAAAGGAAUGACUUAAGAUGAAGAUGAUCAUCUGCUCGAGUCUAAAAUAUACAUUGUAUAUAAGAAUUGGUGAUUAGAAAAGCAAAAAACCUAAAACUUAAAUCUAGGAGUCUGUAUACUGUCUCCAUGUCUCCAUGCCUCAGAUCUCAUCUAAAUCUUUGAACAGCACCAUUCAACCAAUCUGAGGCCUUGACUUGCUUGUAAGAUGAUUCUCAGAGAUCGGCUGAGUUAAAAAAGAUGACGACUUGAUUACCAAAGAAAGUAGGGCCAACUUUGACAAAUCUGGCUCUGCUGACCCUGUCACUCCCAGAUGUAGCAUAGACUCCUAAACAGAACCUCAAGUCUGAUUGAGGAUAAGGCCUUCUCCUGAGCUGAAAGUUCUUUGGCAGAUGAGCAAGAAACUGAAAGCUGAUGUACCUGACUGGCUCUGUAAGAUCAGAAAACUGUAUCCAGAAUAAGCCCUAUGGAUUAACCCCUGAGUACCCAGAGUAAAAACUAAUUUACAGAACUUCCUUAUUGAUCUGCUGGUUCUUCCAGAUCAUAUUCUGGCUAUUGGUAUGGCUGGCCUUUCUGAAGGUACCCUGCUUGUCUAUUUUCCUGACUCAGCUCUUGCCUGCCUUUUUCACAUGUUGCUGCAAUUAGACUCACCGUGAGGACUACAGUCAAUUUCAGUCUAUCUUGUGCCCAAUACAACAAGGAUUUUUAAUAGUAACAACCCACACCUCACCCACUAGGACUCAAUGUUCACAACAGGAAGGACCAUUGCUGCAUACUCCUUGACCAGCAACUUUUUUGAAGAUAUUUUUAAGUGCAGAGUAGGCCUCUAUUCCUGUAUGUAAUUGUUCAUUUUCAGCACCUGGAACCUCAUCUAUCGGGUCUGGAAGGAAUACAGCAGUUCGAAAGCCGCGUCCAUUUCUCUCCUUCAGUAGUGCAGAAAUGAGUCCGAUUCACCAGUACACACAGAACUGUACCAGUUCAACCUAGCAAAAGAAGAAAAGUUUCCACUGUACUUAAAAUUUACAGCUGACUCAAAUUGCCUCACAGAAUUAUUUGAUGUAGAAGGCUAGUUGUCUUACUUCAGAUCAGCAGGACAGUUGGGCUCUCAGACUCAUGACCACUGAGUUUGCUUGUGUUGAAACUGUGGUUUCAUCCAACAUAUGCUAUUGGACAUGAUUAUUAUUCCAUUCAAAUGGAUUACAGACUUCUUGAGGACAGGACAAACUUAUCUCUCAUGGUGUUUUUUUAGAAUACUUUUAUAACCAAGGAAGAAACCAUGCCAGCUGUUACCAUUCAACUUCUUAAGCAGAGAUUAAGCUUUUUCAUAUCUGUUCUUAUCCUGGACAUCAGUAGUUUUUAAUUGCCCAGCAUCCGUUCCAUCUUGUAACAACUCCCUGAUGUUUCUUAAAACCACCUCUUCCUAUUUUCAGUCUGUGGUUUGGACAGUCUGACCCAACCUUGAGCUUUGUGGGUGAACAUGUAAUUCAGACCUCAUCAAUCAGCAAAUCCAUCUGAACUGUGGAGGAGAAGCUCUCUUUACUGAGGGUGCUUUAGCUUUGUAGGAUGAAAACCUCAAACUAACAGGGCCUACCAUGUAGAGAAUGAAGCCAGUGCAGGGGAAAGCAGAGCCAAAAUAUGGAGAGACUUGAAUCCUGAUGACAGCGUUUGUGCCCCUGGAUCCAACCGUGCCUGAAGCUAGAAUAUCCCCUGGACUUUUCAGUUAUGUGAACCAAUAAAUACCCUUUUUUGCUUAAGUUACUUUGAGUUGGGUUUCUGUUACUUGAAAUUGAAUCCACACUAAUAUAUCUACCAACAUUGAGACUUGACAGAUCCAAGUAUUUAUUAAGCUAGAGGUCAUGGUCACUGAAAUUACUUUCCAAAGUGGAAGACAAAAUGAAACAGGAACUGAGGGAAUAUUUAAGAUCCCACAGAAGCGUAAAAAUGACAUGGUAGAAAGUAAUAGAAAACCUAAAUGUCUGUCAUUAAAGGAUAGGUUAAGGUGUGGUUCAGCCAUAUAGGAAUAUCUCGUAUCUGUUAAAAUGAAUAAAGUACAUUCAUUGUGUAUGGAAAAAUGGCCAUGAUACAUUAGGUGAAACAAGUUAUUAAUAGAAAAGUGUACAGUGUGAACUCAUUUUAAAAUGUGUGUGCUUAUGUUUAUAAAUGCAUAGAAAGGUCUAUUCACAGCUUUCUUUGAACAGUGUAGAUCACAUGAAACUUUCAACUUUAUACAUUUCUGUAUUAAUAUUUUACACUACCCACAUUAUUUUUAAACUUUAUUUUAAAUAAAGAAUUUUUAAAAUUAAAUUUAGUGCUUACUGUUUGACCUUGGCAAGUUAUUCAACACUGAGCCUGUUUUAUC